CAGAGUGUGGCCAAGUUUGGUAAGGCACAUGGUUUGGGACCAUGAAAUCGUAGGUUCAAAUCCUACCACUCUGACCA
rnacentral:tRNA from 1 species